CUGAACCAGCCAAGUAGCGUGAAGGAUGACUGCCCUAUGGGUUGUAAACUUCUUUUAUACGGGAAUAAAGUGAGGCACGUGUGCCUUUUUGUAUGUACCGUAUGAAUAAGGAUCGGCUAACUCCGUGCCAGCAGCAGCGGUAAUACGGAGGAUCCGAGCGUUAUCCGGAUUUAUUGGGUUUAAAGGGAGCGUAGGCGGACGCUUAAGUCAGUUGUGAAAGUUUGCGG
rnacentral:rRNA from 1 species